ACACAGUCAGCGGCAGACGGGAGAGUAACACGUGGGAACGCGCCCUUCGGUUCGGGAUAACUCAGGCAAACUUGGGCUAAUACCGGAUACGCCCUUACGGGGAAAGAUUUAUUGCCGAAGGAACGGCCCGCGUCCGAUUAGCUUGUUGGUGAGGUAACGGCUCACCAAGGCGACGAUCGGUAGCUGGUCUGAGAGGAUGACCAGCCUCACUGGGACUGAGACACGGCCCAGACUCCUACGGGAGGCAGCAGUGGGGAAUAUUGGACAAUGGGCGCAAGCCUGAUCCAGCCAUGCCGCGUGGGUGAUGAAGGCCCUAGGGUUGUAAAGCCCUUUCGGCGGGGAAGAUAAUGACGGUACCCGCAGAAGAAGCCCCGGCUAACUUCGUGCCAGCAGCCGCGGUAAUACGAAGGGGGCUAGCGUUGCUCGGAAUUACUGGGCGUAAAGCGCACGUAGGCGGCUUCUUAAGUCGGGGGUGAAAUCCUGGAGCUCAACUCCAGAACUGCCUUCGAUACUGGGAAGCUCGAGUCCGGGAGAGGUGAGUGGAACUGCGAGUGU
rnacentral:rRNA from 1 species